ACCAGGGUGGUGUAGUGGCUAACGCAUCUGCCUACUGAGUAGGGGACCUGGGUUCGAGUCCCGGCCUUGGUU